GGGGAUUUAGCUCAGUGGUAGAGCGCUUACUUAGGAAGCGCAAGGCCCUGGGUUCGAUCCCCAGCUCCG
rnacentral:tRNA from 1 species